GGGCCUGUAGUCUAGUGGUUACAAGAGACUCGGUAGCACCUGAGGUUCUGGGUUCGACUCCCGGUGGGAGCG